rnacentral:rRNA from 2 species
UGGUGCCAGCAGCCGCGGUAAUUCCAGCUCCAAUAGCGUAUAUUAAAGUUGUUGCAGUUAAAAAGCUCGUAGUUGAAUUUCGGGGUUAGUAAGUUGGUCAUGCCUCUGGUAUGCACUGGCUUUACUGAUUCCUCCUUCUUGAUGAACUGUAAUGUCAUUAAUUUGGUGUUGCAGGGAAUCAGGACUGUUACUUUGAAAAAAUUAGAGUGUUUAAAGCAGGCAUACGCUUGAAUACAUUAGCAUGGAAUAAUGAAAUAGGACGUUUGAUCCUAUUUUGUUGGUUUCUAGGAUUGACGUAAUGAUUAAUAGGGAUAGUUGGGGGCAUUAGUAUUCAAUUGUCAGAGGUGAAAUUCUUGGAUUUAUUGAAGACUAACUACUGCGAAAGCAUUUGCCAAGGAUGUUUUCAUUAAUCAAGAACGAAAGUUAGGGGAUCGAAGACGAUCAGAUACCGUCGUAGUCUUAACCAUAAACUAUGCCGACUAGGGA